rnacentral:tRNA from 1 species
GUUGUGGCUCAGUGGUAGAGCACUUGCCUAGCAUGCAUGAGGCACUGGGUUUGAUCCCCGGCACUACA